rnacentral:rRNA from 1 species
AUUGAACGCUGGCGGCAUGCCUUACACAUGCAAGUCGAACGGCAGCACGGGGCAACCUGGUGGCGAGUGGCGAACGGGUGAGUAAUGCAUCGGAACGUGCCAUUGAGUGGGGGAUAACGUAGCGAAAGUUGCGCUAAUACCGCAUAUUCUGUGAGCAGGAAAGCAGGGGACCGCAAGGCCUUGCGCUCUUUGAGCGGCCGAUGUCAGAUUAGCUAGUUGGUGAGGUAACGGCUUACCAAGGCGACGAUCUGUAGCGGGUCUGAGAGGAUGAUCCGCCACACUGGAACUGAGACACGGUCCAGACUCCUACGGGAGGCAGCAGUGGGGAAUUUUGGACAAUGGGCGCAAGCCUGAUCCAGCCAUGCCGCGUGAGUGAAGAAGGCCUUGGUUGUAAAGUCUCUUUCGGUCCGGGAAGAAAUCGCAUGGUUAAGUACCCUGUGUGGAUGACGGUACCGGAAGUAAGAAGCACCGGCUAACUACGUGCCAGCAGCCG